CAAUAGCGUAUAUUAAAGCUGUUGCGGUUAAAAAGCUCGUAGUUGGAUUUCUGUCAAGGACAACUGGUCCGCCCUCCGGGUGAGCACAUAGUUUGGUCUUGACAUCUUGCUGGAAGCUGUUGCUGCACUUGGCUGUGUGGCGCAGUGUUCAGCACUUUCACUUUGAGGAAAUUGGAGUGUUUCAAGCAGGCACAUGCCUUUGGACACAGUAGUAUGGAAUAAUUAGAUUGGGCUUUUGCUCCAAUUUGUCGGUUUCUGGAGCUGAGGUGAGUAUUAAUGGGGAUUGUUGGGGGCAUCCGAAUUUAGCCGUCAGAGGUGAAAUUCUUGGAUCUGCUAAAGACGGACAACUGCGAAAGCGUUUGCCCAGGAUGUUUUCAUUGA
rnacentral:rRNA from 1 species